UACGGAGGAUCCGAGCGUUAUCCGGAUUUAUUGGGUUUAAAGGGUGCGCAGGCGGGAGAUUAAGUCGGCGGUGAAAUUUUGCAGCUCAACUGUAAAAGUGCCAUUGAUACUGGUUUCCUUGAGUGUGGAUGAAGUAGGCGGAAUUUGUGGUGUAGCGGUGAAAUGCAUAGAUAUUACACAGAACACCGAUUGCGAAGGCAGCUUACUAAUCCAUCAUUGACGCUGAGGCACGAAAGCGUGGGGAUCAAACAGGAUUAGA
rnacentral:rRNA from 1 species